rnacentral:lncRNA from 1 species
ACCUGUCCAAAAAAACAAAACAAAAUACACCCACAAAAGCAGAGGAGAGAAUAAAAAGGGACAGUGCAAGACCGCUGAAGAGAAAUUAAGUAUUUAAAAAAGAAUUUUUGGAAAAGGACAAACUCUUAAACCCUAAUAAAACAGAAGCUACAACGCGAAUCGAUAUGCUCCAGAUUUUUUUAUCAGUAUAAAGACGGAAAAUUUACAGAUGGGUUUGGA